UAAAUGUAGCUGUUCCUGCCUAGAAGAUAAUCACGAAAGAAAAGAGAAGAUUACAAGAAACUCCGUUGGCUUGGCUACUGAGGACGAGUUUUGUCUUUCGGAGAAGAUGACGAGCAGACCUUCCUUUUCUCUAGUUCUCUUUGCUAUCCUCUUAUUUUCUGCUGCUUCUCCUGGAGUCCUUGGAAUCUGUCUGUACAGCAUCUUUGGAUCACCACCAGAUGAUUGUGGCUAUUGCACAGAAGGAAGUAUGUGUGAUCCACCUUUUGAAGGUGCUAUAUCGCAACCAAACGAUCCUUGCACCUACUGUAACUCAGGCCUGUACUGUAUGCCAGUUGCAGGAGGAAGUUAUGGGUUCUGUGUUCCUCCUGGGCGAUGAGCAUGACAUUCUGAGAAGACCCAAUUUAGUGUAAUUUUCAAUUUCAUUUGUCCUCCAUUUCGAGGCUUAAUUUGCCUCUCUGUGUGCUGUUGUUCCUGUGAAGUGUUAAGCUUUUCACUUGGUUUUUUCCCCCACUCUUCUGUUAUUACCACAUGUCUCUCUCUAGUCUUUCUUUCUUCUCUACUCUUCACUCUUCAGAGGGAGAAGCAGUCAAGACAGUCAUCUUGUAACGGUGACACCUAUUUGUAUUGUAACUAAUAAAUUCUUAUAUUUCCUUACUGGGAAUUACAACA